AUACAAAUAAUGAACAUUUAUGAAUUCAAUGGUACGAAUAUUUCAUGAGGUGAAAAGUGGAAUGUUCCAUCUGACCAGCCAAAACAGAUUUG